rnacentral:rRNA from 1 species
GUAUUAAAGGCGACGCCUGCCCAGUGAAAAUUAAACGGCCGCGGUAUCCUAACCGUGCAAAGGUAGCAUAAUCAUUUGUCUAUUAAUUGUAGACCUGUAUGAAAGGCAAAAUGAGAGCCCAACUGUCUCUUAUAACGAAUCAAUUAAACUGAUCUUCUAGUACAAAAGCUAGAAUACCGACAUAAGACCAGAAGACCCUGUGAAGCUUUAACUAACCUAUUAAACCCAAUAAUAACUACUUUAGGUUGGGGCGACCUUGGAAUAAAAAAGAACUUCCAAUCUAUGACUCCCUCAUAGGAAGGCAAACAAGCCAACACGACCCAGUACAGCUGACAAUUGAAACAAGUUACUCCAGGGAUAACAGCGCCAUCUUCUUUAAGAGCCCAUAUCAAAAAGAAGGUUUACGACCUCGAUGUUGGAUCAGGACACCCCAGCAAUGCAACCGUUACUAAAGGUUCGUUUGUUCAACGAUUAAUAGUCCUACGUGAUCUGAG